GGCCGGGUAGCUCAGUGGGUUAGAGUGUUGUCCCGAUAAGCCAAGGUUGCAGGUUCGAUACCUGUUCAGGGCA
rfam:Myotis davidii contig10011, whole genome shotgun sequence.